rnacentral:rRNA from 1 species
AUACGUAGGGAGCGAGCGUUGUCCGGAAUUACUGGGCGUAAAGGGCGCGUAGGCGGCGCUUCAAGUCGUCUGUCAAAUGGGAGGGCUUAACCCUUUUUCGCAGACGAAACUGGAGAGCUUGAGAAGCAGAGAGGCAAACAGAAUUCCUGGUGUAGCGGGGAAAUGCGUAGAUAUCAGGAAGAAUACCAGUGGCGAAGGCGGUUUGCUGGCUGCAUACUGACGCUGAAGCGCGAAAGCCAGGGGAGCAAACGGGAUUAGAUACCCCGGUAGUCCUGGCAGUAAACGAUGUAUGCUGGGUGUGAGACUAGCGAUAGUUUCGUGCCGAAGUUAACGCGAUAAGCAUACCGCCUGGGGAGUACGGUCGCAAGAUUGAAACUCAAAGGAAUUGACGGG